rnacentral:rRNA from 1 species
UACGAACUGUGCAAACGUUAUUCGGAAUCACUGGGCUUAAAGGGUGCGUAGGCGGCUUGUUAAGUAGGGUGUGAAAUCCCCGGCUCAACCGGGGAAUUGCGCCCUAAACUGGCGAGCUGGAGUGAGAUAGGGGUGUGUGGAACUUCCAGUGGAGCGGUGAAAUGUGUUGAUAUUGGAAGGAACGCCAGUGGCGAAAGCGACACACUGGGUCUCAACUGACGCUGAGGCACGAAAGCCAGGGGAGCAAACGGG